UAAAUGUAUGCUAGUUGGUAGAACACAUACUAGUGGUAAUUGCAUAAUAAUGCAUUGGAAAGUACAUGCUAGAAACUAGAUGCAAGCGAUAUAUAUAUGUGCAUUGGAAUGUAUGCUAGGUGCAUGUAGCAUUAUGUGGGCCGGUUGGAUAAAAUGCAUAAGUGCAUCAUGUGAAUACAUGUUAAAUGGUAUGGCAUAUUAACAUUAUGAAAAAUAUAUGCUAGAGGAAAAUGUUUAGUGACGUACUAAGAAUAUGUAGCUAUAACUCGAUGUGGACAAUUAGGUGUCAACUAGAUCGAGUGACAUUAACUUAAUGUAUUAAACAUAGGUCAAAUGUGACCCUAGGGUCGAGAACCUAGGAGGAGCAAGAAUGGUAUUUAACCUAGUGUCAUGGGCCUAGGGUAGAUCGAGUGGCAUUAACCUAGUGUUGUGAACAUAGGUUGAACAGAAUGAACCUAGAGUUAAUAAGAUCUAGGUAGAGAGGCUUAACCUAGUUUAAAGAACAUAGGUUAUGUGAAAAAGGGCAUUAAACCUAGAGUCAGCUAGACCUAGGAUGGAAAGUGCAUUGGACCUAGAUAGGUCAAUAUCAUAGGGUCGAGACUACCCUAGAGGUUUGGAAAGUAGAUUCCGGAAUCUUAGGUUUGUGAACUCGAUAGUUCUAAAGCCGUGGGGGCAGUUGGCAAUGUUCUCCUCCCACUGGAUGAACUUCGAGGAUGAGCUUAAGGCUGAUUCGAGGCCGCGGGUUGAGUGCGGCAGGGUUCCCC
rnacentral:lncRNA from 1 species